rnacentral:rRNA from 1 species
UACAGAGGUCUCAAGCGUUGUUCGGAUUCAUUGGGCGUAAAGGGUGCGUAGGUGGCGUCGUAAGUCGGGUGUGAAAUUUCGGAGCUUAACUCCGAAACUGCAUUCGAUACUGCGGUGCUUGAGGACUGGAGAGGAGACUGGAAUUUACGGUGUAGCAGUGAAAUGCGUAGAGAUCGUAAGGAAGACCAGUGGCGAAGGCGGGUCUCUGGACAGUUCCUGACGCUGAGGCACGAAGGCCAGGGGGAGCAAACGGG